rnacentral:rRNA from 1 species
UUAAAGUUGUCGCAGUUAAAAAGCUCGUAGUUGAACCUUGGGCCUGGCUGGCCGGUCCGCCUCACCGCGUGCACUGGUCCGGCCGGGCCUUUCCUUCUGGGGAGCCGCAUGCCCUUCACUGGGUGUGUCGGGGAACCAGGACUUUUACUUUGAAAAAAUUAGAGUGUUCAAAGCAGGCCUAUGCUCGAAUACAUUAGCAUGGAAUAAUA